ACUCCUACGGGAGGCAGCAGUGGGGAAUAUUGCACAAUGGGCGCAAGCCUGAUGCAGCCAUGCCGCGUGUGUGAAGAAGGCCUUCGGGUUGUAAAGCACUUUCAGUUGUGAGGAAGGUGGUGUCGUUAAUAGCGGCAUCAUUUGACGUUAGCAACAGAAGAAGCACCGGCUAACUCCGUGCCAGCAGCCGCGGUAAUACGGAGGGUGCGAGCGUUAAUCGGAAUUACUGGGCGUAAAGCGCAUGCAGGUGGUUUGUUAAGUCAGAUGUGAAAGCCCGGGGCUCAACCUCGGAACUGCAUUUGAAACUGGCAGACUAGAGUACUGUAGAGGGGGUAGAAUUUCAGGUGUAGCGGUGAAAUGCGUAGAGAUCUGAAGGAAUACCGGUGGCGAAGGCGGCCCCCUGGACAGAUACUGACACUCAGAUGCGAAAGCGUGGGGAGCAAACAGGAUUAGAUACCCUGGUAGCACAGAGAG
rnacentral:rRNA from 1 species